rnacentral:rRNA from 1 species
AGAGUUUGAUCCUGGCUCAGGAUGAACGCUGGCGGCAUGCCUAAUACAUGCAAGUCGAACGGACGGAAAGGAAGCUUGCUUUCUGGAAGUCAGUGGCGAACGGGUGAGUAACACGUAGGUAACCUGGCCAUCACAGGGGGAUAACUACUGGAAACGGUAGCUAAAACCGCAUAGGUAAGGAAGAGGCAUCUCUUGCUUAUUAAAGGGGCUACGGCCUUGGUGAUGGAUGGACCUGCGGCGCAUUAGCUAGUUGGUGAGGUAGAGGCUCACCAAGGCGAUGAUGCGUAGCCGACCUGAGAGGGUGAACGGCCACAUUGGGACUGAGACACGGCCCAAACUCCUACGGGAGGCAGCAGUAGGGAAUUUUCGUCAAUGGGGGGAACCCUGAACGAGCAAUGCCGCGUGAGUGAAGAAGGUCUUCGGAUCGUAAAGCUCUGUUGUAAGAGAAAAACGGAUAUCAUAGGGAAUGAUGAUAUCGUGAUGGUAUCUUACCAGAAAGCCACGGCUAACUACGUGCCAGCAGCCGCGGU